UACGUAGGGUGCAAGCGUUGUCCGGAAUUAUUGGGCGUAAAGAGCUCGUAGGCGGUUCGUCGCGUCGGCUGUGAAAUCCCGAGGCUCAACCUCGGGUCUGCAGUCGAUACGGGCGGACUGGAGUACUGCAGGGGAGACUGGAAUUCCUGGUGUAGCGGUGAAAUGCGCAGAUAUCAGGAGGAACACCGGUGGCGAAGGCGGGUCUCUGGGCAGUUACUGACGCUGAGGAGCGAAAGCGUGGGGAGCGAACAGG
rnacentral:rRNA from 1 species